UGGUGGCCUAGUAGUUCAGAGCGCUCGCCUCGGAUGCGAGAGGUCGCGGGUUCGAACUCGAACCGAAUCAUAAUAA